UACGGAGGGUGCGAGCGUUGUCCGGAAUCACUGGGCGUAAAGGGCGCGUAGGCGGUUGUAUGGGUGUGAUGUGAAAGCCCCGGGCUUAACCUGGGAAGUGCAUCGCAAACUGUAUGACUGGAGUAUAAGAGAGGGUGGCGGAAUUUCCGGUGUAGCGGUGAAAUGCGUAGAGAUCGGAAGGAACGUCAAUGGCGAAGGCAGCCACCUGGCUUAAUACUGACGCUGAGGCGCGAAAGCGUGGGGAGCGAACAGG
rnacentral:rRNA from 1 species